UUGCCGUGAUGGUUACAUUUUUCGUCAACAGCAUUUCACAUAGUGAAUGGUGACGCUCUUGUGUCUGAGCAA